rnacentral:lncRNA from 1 species
CGUGGUGCCUCAUGUGCUCUCCAGGGCACCUCCUGCCUGGGUGGCAGCCUGGCUUUGGGAAUGUGCUCACUGAAGGUCGUGAUGAACCACAGAAAACAGACUGGAUAUCAUACAGGGGAGCACGUGUGAACCUGGAUUCUCCAGCAUACUCUGCUCCAGCCGUUCCCAGAACUAAAAUACAUGGGUGGGAUAUUUGGCUCCAUCAAAGACACUUCUGCAAAUGCCACUUCUGCGAGAGGUGAGGAGUUUCACCACCAGCAGAGUACAAGCACUUCACUGCAGUGGGAAG